rnacentral:rRNA from 1 species
UAGGGAAUCUUCCGCAAUGGACGAAAGUCUGACGGAGCAACGCCGCGUGAGUGAAGAAGGAUUUCGGUUCGUAAAACUCUGUUGUUAGGGAAGAAAAAAUGUAUAGUAACUAUAUACAAAAGAGACGGUACCUAACCAGAAAGCCACGGCUAACUACGUGCCAGCAGCCGCGGUAAUACGUAGGUGGCAAGCGUUGUCCGGAAUUAUUGGGCGUAAAGCGCGCGCAGGUGGUUUAGAAAGUCUGUUGUGAAAGCCCACGGCUCAACCGUGGAGGGUCAUUGGAAACUAAUAAACUUGAGUGCAGGAGAGAAAAGUGGAAUUCCUAGUGUAGCGGUGAAAUGCGUAGAGAUUAGGAGGAACACCGGUGGCGAAAGCGGCUUUUUGGCCUGCAACUGACACUGAGGCGCGAAAGCGUGGGGAGCAAACAGG